rnacentral:rRNA from 1 species
GUUGGGGAAACACCCGGUCCCAUUCCGAACCCGGUAGUUAAGCCCUUCUGCGCCGAUGGUACUGCACUGGUUACGGUGUGGGAGAGUAGGUC